UCGGUGGAGCUAGAUGAACACAGCUC
rnacentral:misc_RNA from 1 species